rnacentral:rRNA from 1 species
AUGAUCAUCACUGGGGAUGACCCCGAGUAUAUUGCCUUUGUAAAGGCCCGUCUUAGUGAGCAGUUUCUUAUGUCUGAUCUUGGACCUCUUCGCUACUUUCUUGGGAUUGAAGUCUCUUCUACCUCUGAUGGCUUUUUAUAUCCCAGGAAAAGUAUAUCCAGGAUCUUCUUGCUCGUGCUGCUCUUACUGAAGAGCGCAUUGUUGAGACUCCCAUGGAGCUCAAUGUUCACCUCCGUGCUACUGAUGGUGAUCCUCUCCCUGACCCGACGCGUUAUCGUCAUCUCGUUGGCAGUCUUGUCUAUCUAG